rnacentral:misc_RNA from 1 species
CGCACAGAGAAGCGCGCAUUUUGCUUUCCUUUUUUCUUUCCUGGCGAGUUCACGCGCGCACACACACACCAGCUCACAUCACUGCAGGAGCACGUGCCAGGGUGGAGGAUCUCGUCGUGCCCUUUCACAGCGGCGCAAAGGCGAGAGAGAAGCGCUCUGAAGGAACACGAUAAGCUCAUCCGCACAGACGCGCGCACUCUGGUAAUCCCCGAAGGACGGCAGCAAGAUGACGGAGGUGUCCGCAAGAAAGGAGCGGCGCGAGCAGCGUCAGCGAGCGCUCGGGGUAGACUGCGUAGACCGCCUCACAUGGAAAGAGUGGGAGCCGGGCAAGGAGUACAAGCGCAAGAUUCUCGUCAAGAACAUUGACCGUGCCUCGCAGACAAUUCAGCUUUCACUGCCCGUGAACCGCAAGACCUUCAUUACGCCUUUUCCGGAGCCAAUCACGCUGAGCAGCGGCGUUUCACACGAAAUCGUCAUUUCCUUUCGCCCUACAGAGCUGGUGGAGUUGCAUGACGCCGUCACCGUCACUGUGGAGGGCCGCGGCUCCUUCCAGGUACGACUGGACUGUCUUACGCCGUACGCGAAGCUGACGCUGCCGCCCAGCCACGACUUCGGCUACUGCGCCGUCGGCUCCACCGCGCACGCGCAGGUGCAGCUGCGCAACAGCGGAACCGCCCCGGUAGAGUUCAGCUGGGAAGUCUCGGCGCCGUUCUGCAUUCUGCCUAGUCACGCCGUGCUGGAUGAGGGGGAGAUAAUGCACAUCACACUUCUGUUCACGCCGACGGAGGGGUGCACAAUGGUGGCACAGGCUGUGUGCCGCCUGACCGGAGCUGAAGACGUAAUCGCCGCCCUCAAGAUAUCCGGCAUCGGCAAGUACCCUUAUAUUUGUUUUCAGGAACCGAGUGCGGAGGAGAGGACGCUGGUGGUGCAAAUGGAAGCGCAGCAGAACAGCGGCAGCAGCAGCGGCAAGCUGAUCCACGUGUGCAACCCCUCGCCGGUGCCUGUAUCGGUGCGCAUUCGGCGCGUGGAUGAAAGCCUAAUGUGCGCCUUCCGCUUCGUUGUCGAGGGAAAGGUGGCGGCGGAGCAAGACGACCCGAAUGGUGAAGGCGCCUUUCUCGUGCCGCGCGGUGCGGUGCAGCCGGUGCGCAUCCACUACACCCCCGGGAGUCCCGGGGUGAUUGACUUCAACACCUUUCAGUUCGACUGCGCGCAUGGCAAUUCGUUGCAGGUGGAGCUUAGUGGAACGACGCUUGGCCCGCGCGUGACAGCAUCGAUCAGUAGUCUCGACUACGAGGCCGUGGACCUGGAGCACAUGCCCGCCGAGAAGCAGCGCACGCGUCACUUGACGCUGCGAAACGCGUCGGCAACGGACGCCCCCUUCACGUGGAUGAACACGUUGCCGGGGGCGGCCUUUACUGUAGUACCUCACAGCGGUGUUGUUGGGGCGCAGUCGAGUCUGCAGGUGGCCAUCACUUUUCGGCCCACGCACCCCAUCCUCUACUACCGUCGCCUGUACCUGCUCAUCGAGGGCGCAAAGGAUGUGGUGGGGGUCGAUGUGCUAGGCGGUGCCUACACUAGCGAUCUGCGGCCGCCGACGCUGGCUCUCGCGGACGUCGAGGCGGCGCGGCUGCGGAUGGAGCGAGGCUUGGGGCUGCUCACCCCGGAGCAACUUUCGACCGUCGCCGCGGCGGCAACAGCCGCAGAGGACGAGUUGAUGGGCAGCAGGCAUGAGAAGGGCCAGCGCGGAGGCCGGCGCAGCUCCGUGCCUGCUGCGACGCUCGAAAUUUGGCGGCGUAUCGAGGAAGACGUCCGCAGCCCCGAUGUGGUCAUGUGUGGAGCAAAACGCAAAGUGCGCGUGCCGCUGAGCAACUUGGAGACAGCCGACGGCAGCGUUUCCAUCGACACACCCUUCGGAGUCGAUGCAAAGCCUCUCUACACGUUUGGCGGUGGUGGAAAAAGCGGCAGCGACUUGCGUGGGCACCUGGUGACGGUCAUGAAUGCAUCCAAUGCGACCGCUGUGGCUACCUGGAGUCUACCCGCAUUGCAAGCGUGCCCGUACGCGGUAGUGCCCACGCAACAGGUUGUCCCUCCUAACGGCUCUGCCGUCUUCCAGCUCCAGUGCAGCAGCACCGUGAGCAAUGAUCUGCCGGCCGCCUGCACGCUCGAGUGCUAUGUGAACUAUGAGUCCAUGUCUGCCUUCUACUUGGCGCCGGACGCGUGCGUGGUGCCGCCGCAGUGCUUCACAGUGACCUGCACGAGUGCCAGCAUUUCUGUCUUCACCUCAGCGAAGCAGAAAUCGCAGCAACAGCAGCAAAGCACAUCCAGCCACAUCAGCUACGCGCGUCAGGUGUGCCUGCCGGCGUGUCGCGUCGGUGGCUCCUCCUACCAAGUGAUAGCGUUCCAGAACAAGGCUGCCACGCCAGUGCGUUACGAGGUAACCGGUGUCAUGCUCAAGCAGGUUAGUGCAGUCGUCGUGCCACCGAAUAUGAAGCCUGUGGCACCGGAGAAAGAAACCUCAACAGCUGCGGUGGAAGCAAGAGCAGCGCAGCAAGAGGCUGGCGAGGUGGGCGAGGCUGUGUUCUCGGUGUACCCAACUGCAGGCGUCGUGCCGGCCCUGGGCCGCCAGCUGCUUGUGGUGAAAUUCAGCCCCAGAGACACGGCGCAGUACGCGGCGUCGGCCAGAAUUCUGUGGGACGCAAAUCUGAUGCAGUCCACCGCCUCCCCCGCCGCUAGUGCUGCACUAUUAGCUGCCGCGGACAUCACACACCUCAACCUCUUCGGUGAAGUAUGCCUUCCGCAGCUUCAGUGGCGCCAGGUUGGCGAAGACGUGACGGUGCCGCUGAGCAUGAUUACGCUGCCGCCGAGUUGCGUCUCGGGCGAAUCGCAACAGCGCGCGUGGGUACGCAACCCGACGGGGCUGCCAGUGGAGUUCCGCUUCGACACGUCAGCGGAGCUUCUCGGGGUGCUUCGCAUGGAGCCCGAGCAGGGUGUGGUGCCCGGCGGUGCGCGGCUCCCCGUCACGCUCUUCUUCAGCCCACAGCAGCCUCGCGUGUUCGACGGCUUUCUGCAGCUCUACGUGCAAGGGGGAGCCGAGGAAGCGGCAGCGCCGGGCGCGGCGCAGCUUCGGUACUGUCAGCAGCUGCGCGUGCUCGGCGAAGGCGCGUACGGAGACGUGGAGGUGGAGCCGCGGAUCAUGGACAUCGGAGAUGCCGCUGACACACGAGAGCAGCAGGCCGCCCUCACACUGUAUAAUAGCGGCUACUGCGAUGUGCAGUACGAUGUACGCGCCAUGCUGGUGCACGCCGGCAAGUCGGGAGCCGGCGCCGCGGUGGUGCCGCGCCUUCACAACAGCCGCGGUGUCCUACCAGCGCGCACGCACACAACAGUGCUCGUGGCGGCGCAGCCUGCGCCGGGCUUGACGGAGUUCCUCGUCUAUGCCAUCGUUAGCGGCUUGUCCACCGACGUGGCCAACGUGCCGAACGCAUCAACCGCAGAGGAGGCCGAACGGCACCCCCAUUGCCGCUGGCGUCUACGGGCCGCACACCCGGCAGUUCAGGUGGUGGACGUCGACCUCCCCGGCGUGGCGCGGCCGCUGGCGUGGCAGCAACUCAGUCUCAACGCCAUCAACGCGCAGCUCGCCACGGCUUCUGCGGAGCCUGAGGAUAGCAUCAAUAGCGCACACGCCUCCUUCCAGCACUACGUUAGCGGAUUGGACCCGAUUUCGAUGGAUCUUGGCGUAGCGCACGAAGGUGACAGCACCGUGUGCGUCAAGGUGUGUCUCAAGAACACCGGCGACUGCCCGGCGCCGUUCGACGUGAUGCUGCCAACGCAGCAUGAGGCGAACAGAGAGCACUGGUGCCUGGAAAACGCAGAGCUGGAAAGUUUGUACUACAUCAUUGAUCGCGGACUCGUGACGGUAGCACCGCAGCAGGGAAGCAUUGAUGUUGGGCAGACAGUUCAGCUUGAGGUGCGUUACGUGCACAGCGAGGUGGGUGUCCAUCGACUGCCGAUGGUGCUGCGCGUUGGCCGCGGUGGGCGGCGCGUCGCCGUGGUGCUGGAAGGACGCACGUUGCCUGCUGAGGUACGCGCGUUGAACUUCCACCACCAGAAGGUGUACGAGCUGAUGCCGGUUGCCCUCGGCGACAUGGAGCCGCCGCUGCAAUUCAUCACGGCAACAAACCCGUUUGAUGAGCCUGCCGAGUACUCGGUCGACUUGAAGGCACUGCAGGAGCACACGCGAGAGCACUACGGCUUCCCUGUGUUUCAGUGCGUCGACCCGCGGGGCACGGUUUCGCCACGCGGCACGGUCCACAUCGGCUUCUACUUCAGACCGCUGGAGGCGAGAGAGUACCGCGUGAGCGUCCUGCUGCAGACAGUGCAGGGAGAGGGCUACUAUGUCGAUUUGGUCGGCAGCGGCUACCACCCACGCAAGGUGGCGGCGACGUCGGUGAUACAGUGGAUCGGCCAUGCACUGAUGCAAGUUCCCGCCGUCCCGCCCACCCUCGCCGCGCGCGCGCACACUGCGUUCUUGUCCGACGACGUCUGCAAGCUGGGCGCCGUCCCGUACUUCACACUGUGUAGGCGCACCUGCACAUUGCAGCUCGCCGCCGACUGUCCGACUGCUAUGCGCUACACCUGGCACGUCGAUCGCCCGCAGCGGGGUGACGCACAGGCCGUUGUGCGCCCCUCCGAAGGCGUUGUGAAGCCCGGCAAGGAGCAGACGUUUAAGAUAGUCUUCUACUCAGGCAGUACUAGCCAGGUGCUGGAGAGACUUAUGACGUGCGCUGUCGUGCCUUGCGCCGCGGCGAGCGACGGGGAAGAAAAGCAGCACAGUGACAGUGGAAGUCGCCCUGGCCGGCGUACUAGGGCACCGCCGCUCCCUAGACCCAACUCCUCGAACGACGGCGGCCGCAGUGCCGCGUCGCUCAGCCUUCUUCUGCAAGCGCGAGUGAUGCCGCAGGACGACUAUGAGGCCCUGUAUGGAUCAGAGAAGCUGAAUACCGCCUUCGCACCGCCCCUCUACAAUAGCCACGCUGAUCCGGUAUCCCCCACACUGUUACCAGUCGCCUCCCAGACCACCACAAGCCCCGCCACGACGGCAGAAGUGUGCUUUGUGAAAGGGGUGAUGGACGAGCUCAUCCGCUCCCUGGUCGCCGCGCCCGCCGUUCAGAGCUCCUUCACAGCCUUGUGCGCCCCUCGUCACGUGACGUACGCCAAUAUGCGAGUCCUGCAUGCCGCGAAGGCGACCAACGCAAAAGCCUUGUCCACCGCAGCAGCGGCAGCGCUGAGUCGCGGGAACGCCAGCUCUGCCGUGGCAACGGAGGAGGUACUGGAGGAGCUUCUCUGCAGUGCGCUUGCUGAAGCAGUCGCUGUCGUUUAAUGCGCGUGGUCGACUGCACGUCUGCCUCUGUGUGUGUGUGUGUGUGUGUGUGUGUGUGUGUGUCUGUCUGUCUGUCUGUGCAGAAGGGCGGAAGGGUUAGGUGAAGGCAGCCACCCUCUUCCUGCACAAGACCAAUAGGCACACACAUACACGCGCACUCCCUCUUCUCUGUUCCCUUUUUCGCUUUCUGUUUUGAUGUAAAGCGUUCAGCAUGUACAGACCAUUGCAUAUAGGCUUGUUCCAGUGUGUUCUCUUCUCGUGUGUGGGGGGUGCGCAGGUCGCCAGGCUUUUUGGUCGCAGCGCGUAGCUGUCCAAGGAAGCAGCUGUCUAGUCGCGUCUUCAUGGAAAAGAUGCAACAGCUCCAGAAGUGGAAGCGCACAAAUGAAAAGGAGGUGAAGUGCACCUUGAAAAGUACGUAUAGGCACGGAUAUCUCCUACCUCGGCACGACAGCGAGGCCAUCGAGGGGAAGAGGGAUUGCCCUGUAGUGUGAUCGUGCUACUUCCGUGUCAGCAACGAUGCCCUCAGCCCCGCACCUACGCCUGGAGCCAUUUUCGCGAGAGCCAUCGCAUGGGUGUGGGGCGUACACGCAACAGGAGAUUGAAGCGUUUCUUUCCCAUACGGUCGUGUGGCUGCUCGUCCCUU